rnacentral:rRNA from 1 species
AACGAACGCUGGCGGCAGGCCUAACACAUGCAAGUCGAACGUGAAGCCACCUUCGGGUGGUGGAAAGUGGCAGACGGGUGAGUAACGCGUGGGAACGUGCCUUUCGGUUCGGGAUAACCCAGGGAAACUUGGGCUAAUACCGGAUACGCCCUUCGGGGGAAAGAUUCAUUGCCGAAAGAUCGGCCCGUGUCGGAUUAGCUAGUUGGUGGGGUAAAAGCCUACCCAGGCGACGAUCCGUAGCUGGUCUGAGAGGAUGACCAGCCACACUGGGACGGAGACACGGCCCAGACUCCUACGGGAGGCAGCAGUGGUGAAUAUUGGACAAUGGGCGCAAGCCUGAUCCAGCCAUGCCGCGUGGGUGAAGAAGGCCCUAGGGUUGCAAACCCCUUUCAGCGGGGAAGAUAAUGACGGUACCCGCAGAAGAAGCCCCGGCUAACUCCGUGCCAGCCGCCGCCGUAAUAC